AAAAAUCCGCACCUCAUGUGCCUGAGACCUGACACGGACCCGUAAGGGGAAGUCGGUGAUCCUAUGCUGCCAAGAAAAUCUUCUAGCGAGGUUCUAGCCGCCCGUACCCCAAACCGACUCAGGUGGUUAGGUAGAGAAUACCAAGGCGAUCGAGUGAAUCGUGGUUAAGGAAUUCGGCAAAAUACCCCCGUAACUUCGGGAGAAGGGGGGCCCAGAGGGUGACGGGACUUGCUCCCCGAGCCUGAACGGCCGCAGAGACCAGGGAGAAGCGACUGUUUACUAAAAACACAGGUCCGUGCCAAGUCGCAAGACGAUGUAUACGGACUGACGCCUGCCCGGUGCUGGAACGUUAAGGGGACCGGUUAGCCUCACGGCGAAGCUGAGAACUUAAGCGCCAGUAAACGGCGGUGGUAACUAUAACCAUCCUAAGGUAGCGAAAUUCCUUGUCGGGUAAGUUCCGACCUGCACGAAUGGCGUAACGACUUCUCCACUGUCUCAACCACGAACUCGGCGAAAUUGCACUACGAGUAAAGAUGCUCGUUACGCGCAGAAGGACGGAAAGACCCCGGGACCUUUACUACAGCUUGGUAUUGGUGUUCGGUACGGCUUGUGUAGGAUAGGUGGGAUACUGUGAAGCUGACACGCCAGUGUCGGUGGAGUCAACGUUGAAAUACCACUCUGGUCGUUCUGGAUAUCUAACCUAGGUCCGUAAUCCGGAUCAGGGACAGUGCCUGGUGGGUAGUUUAACUGGGGCGGUUGCCUCCUAAAAGGUAACGGAGGCGCCCAAAGGUUCCCUCAGCCUGGUUGGCAAUCAGGUUUCGAGUGUAAGUGCACAAGGGAGCUUGACUGUGAGACUGACAAGUCGAACAGGGACGAAAGUCGGUACUAGUGAUCCGGCGGUGGCUUGUGGAAGCGCCGUCGCUCAACGGAUAAAAGGUACCCCGGGGAUAACAGGCUGAUCUUGCCCAAGAGUCCAUAUCGACGGCAUGGUUUGGCACCUCGAUGUCGGCUCGUCGCAUCCUGGGGCUGGAGUAGGUCCCAAGGGUUGGGCUGUUCGCCCAUUAAAGCGGUACGCGAGCUGGGUUUAGAACGUCGUGAGACAGUUCGGUCCCUAUCCUCUGCGCGCGCAGGAAACUUGAGAAGGGCUGUCCCUAGUACGAGAGGACCGGGAUGGACGAACCUCUGGUGUGUCAGUUGUUCUGCCAAGAGCACCGCUGAUUAGCUACGUUCGGGAGUGAUAACCGCUGAAAGCAUCUAAGCGGGAAGCAUGCUUCAAGAUGAGGUUUCCAUGGGGUUUACCCCGAGAGGCUCCCAGCUAGACUACUGGGUUGAUAGGCCGGAUGUGGAAGUGCGGUAACGCAUGGAGCUGACCGGUACUAAUAAGCCGAUAACUUGCC
rnacentral:rRNA from 1 species